UACGGGAGGCAGCAGUGGGGAAUAUUGGGCAAUGGAGGAAACUCUGACCCAGCGACGCCGCGUGCGGGAUGAAGGCCUUCGGGUUGUAAACCGCUUUCAGCAGGGAAGAAGCGAAAGUGACGGUACCUGCAGAAGAAGCACCGGCUAACUAUGUGCCAGCAGCCGCGGUAAUACAUAGGGUGCAAGCGUUGUCCGGAAUUAUUGGGCGUAAAGCGUCCGCAGGUGGCUCUGUAAGUCUGUCGUUAAAGCGUGGAGCUUAACUCCAUUUCAGCGGUGGAAACUACAGAGCUUGAGUGUGGUAGGGGCAGAGGGAAUUCCCGGUGUAGCGGUGAAAUGCGUAGAUAUCGGGAAGAACACCAGUGGCGAAGGCGCUCUGCUGGGCCAUAACUGACACUCAUGGACGAAAGCCAGGGGAGCGAAAGGGAUUAGAUACCCCUGUAGUCCUGGCCGUAAACGAUGAACAUUAGGCGUCGGGGGAAUCGACCCCCUCGGUGUCGUAGCCAACGCGUUAAGUGUUCCGCCUGGGGAGUACGCACGCAAGUGUGAAACUCAAAGGAAUUGACGGGGA
rnacentral:rRNA from 1 species